UGAGAAAUCCUCACAUACCGAUGC
rnacentral:siRNA from 1 species